UUCUGUUUAAUCCAGGAAUAUAAUUGCUAUGGAAUCUGGCUUUCCAAGUGGGACAAACUGCUGCCUCUUUAGUUUUUCAGAUAGAGUUAUAUACCUAAUCUUCAUCACAUGAAUAAAGCAAAACAACUUAACUGCUUCAAGAAUCUCCAUCACACAUCUGGAUUCCUCACUCUCUUACCAGCUUCUCUAACUGGCCCUGAAUAUUUUAUCUUCUAG
rnacentral:lncRNA from 9 species